rnacentral:tRNA from 1 species
UACAGUGUGGCAUAGUGGUUUGAGUGUUGGACUAUGACUCUGGAGUCCAGGGUUUGAAUCCCUGCUUGGUCA